rnacentral:rRNA from 1 species
GACAGAGGUGCCGAGCGUUAGGCGGAAUCACUGGGCGUAAAGCGCACGUAGGCGGAUUGCUAAGUCAGGGGUGAAAUCCUGGAGCUCAACUCCAGAACUGCCUUUGAUACUGGCGACCUUGAGUCCGGGAGAGGUGAGUGGAACUGCGAGUGUAGAGGUGAAAUUCGUAGAUAUUCGCAAGAACACCAGUGGCGAAGGCGGCUCACUGGCCCGGUACUGACGCUGAGGUGCGAAAGCGUGGGGAGCAAACAGG